UUUGAAAUCCAUAUUCCCUCUUCUUCUUUCCAUAUUCUUCUGAAGUCAAAACACUGAAUUAUCUCCUUUCCUUCAAUAUCCUCCAAGACAAAAAUCAGCCUACAACUCUGUAAGACAUAAGGAAGCAACACAGCUGUUUCUCACUCAAAAUUUAUUUCUCCAUCUGAGAUUUUUCAACUCAGAGUCACUUGUAUUUUGGUGAGUUGUUAAGAGCUGAUAAAUUUCAAAGGCUAUAAAGAAUUACAUCUUUGUACAGAUAUGUUCUUUUAUUUUUACUGAUUCACUUUCUUUCAUGCUCAGGAUGCUCUCCUUCUAAGUAGCUUAAGGGAUAUAAAGAUGACUGAUAUGGUUUGGAUCUGUGUCCCCACCCAAAUCUCAUGUCUAAUUGGAAUCCUCAAUGUUGGAGGAGGGGCCUGGUGUGAGGUGAUUGGAUCAUCAGGGCAGACUUCUCCCUUGCUGUUCUCGUGAUAGUGAGUUUUCAUCAGAACUGGUUGUUUAAAAGUAUGUAGCAUCUGUCCGUUUGCUCUCUCUCUCCUGCCCCACCAGUGAAGAUGUGUCUGCUUCCCCUUCACCUCCCACCAUGAUUGUAAGUUUCCUGAGGCCUGCACAGCAAUGUUUCCUGGACAGCCUGUGGAACUGUGAGUCAAUUAAACCUCUUUUUUUUUUUAAUAAAUUGCCCAGUCUCAGAUAGUUCCUUAUGGCAAUGUAAGAAUGGACUAUUAUAAUGACUCAGGUAUGAAUUAUAUAUUUUGUAAUAAUUAGACACUCAGAGACUAUGAGAAAUCAAGUGCACGUAGUACAAAGAUCUGCCAUCCAUAACCCAAAGGCCACCUUAGGGCUUAGCCAUUUCUUUUUGUAAAUAACAUUUUAUUGGAACACAGCCUCACCCAUUUGUAUACUCAGGGGAGGGACUAGGAUGAAACACAUAAAGCCCCAAGGCAAAAAAUUUAAGGAGACAUUCACUUUCAAUAGCCUGCAUUGAAAUGAUCCUGAAAAUGAGUGCCUCUUUUAAGUUUUGUUUCCCAGUCAUUCACAUCACAGUCUAGCCCAGGCCCUUUGCUUGCAUAUUCUCUGUGGCUACUUUCAUUCUACAACCUUAGAGUUUAGUAAUUGUCACAGAGACUGUGUGGCCUGCAAAUCCUAAAAUAUUAACUCCAUGACCAUUUAUGUAAACCUUUUGCCCACCCUGAUUUAGAGUCCAAAAGAGUUAUAAAUUUGAGACCUCUGAACAAAAGAGGGACUAUCAUUAGUGAUACCUUUAUUUGGAGUUUCUCAGAAUGUAGGGUGAUACCCAAUGAAAGAAAACAGGCAUGAAGAUGAAACCGGUACACAAGCUUAGUAGAGCAAUUCUGAGUAGACUGCAAUGACUGGAACUCUAAUCUGCCCCCUAUGCAGCCACCUCUUUCUUUUCCUGCAGGCUCAGGAGUCAGACCACCUGGGUUCCAAUCUUGGCAUUGCCACUGGAAAAGAAUGUGACCUGAAGUAAGCUGUUUCCCCUUCCUGAGAUUCAUUUUCUCCGUUUAUAAAAAGGGUCAGGGAGUGAAAAUAAUAGUGCCUGCCUCAAAGAAUUUGGAUUUGGAGUAAACAAGACAAUUCAUGGAAAUAAUUUAAAACAGUGUUUGGCACAUGGUAAGAUAGUAAGUUCUUAAUAGGUAUUAGCAAUUAGUAUUAUCAUAUGAGGCUGUGAGAGUUAGGUGACUAUCAGAAAAAAAAAAUUGAAGCAACAGUUUUACUAAAUUUUGCAAUACAUCAGGGAAAUAUAUUGUUAUAUUAUGACUGCCCUUCCUAUAAUUUGUGAUAAAAAGAAAAAAGUCACCAUGCCUUGUUUACUACAGAAAGCUGUGCCUCUUUGAUACCUCAAGGACUCAGGAAUGAGGACUCCAAAAGUAUUUUGGAGGUAUUCAGGGAGAAAGUUGAGGCCCAACAACAUUCAUAUUGGGGAAACAUGCCAAUUAAGCCUGAGUCCAUCGAUUUCAUAUGGCCUCAUUCCUAACAAAGGUUGUGAGGAUCUGUGGAAUUCUGGUUGCAAACAUUUUUACAUAAUUUUUAGAGCAUGAUAGUGAAAGGAAUUGAGAGAUUCAUGGACAUAAUACUAUAAGAAUUUAGAUAAGGGAAAGAUUACUUUCAUCUGGGCAUUAGGACAUCAGGAAAGACAGAAUGACCAGAUUAUAUAAUCAGGGUUUAGAAGGAUACAUAAUUCACACAUCAAACUGACCUGAACAUUUAAAGGAGACAAGAGAAAGCUUGAAAAUCUUAUGAGGAACACAAUUUAGGACACCAAACAGUCCUAUAGGAAUAAACUAUUUCACAUGGAGUAACUAAUUUUUAACAUUUUAUUCCUUUAGACCACAUGAAACGACAAAUGAAUCAAUAAAUGUCCUCAUGUCAUAUCCUGCAUAGUUCUGUUUGCCCUGAUUGACAUUAAAAUAUCAUCUGCUCAAUGGAUUCUGUCUUUAUCCUGACUGGUUUAUACUGGUCCUGUUAAUCUCUUAAACCUAUUUCAUUAUUCAUAUCACUAAAGGGUCAAGCAUAUGUGCUACUCCUACAGUCUAAUUACAUUUUAAUUCUUUUUUGGGAUUUUUCCAUUCCUCUUUUGUUACAAUGAACUGAUGUUUGAGGCAGUUUAGAAAGAUAUUUGUAGUUUAUAAUGGAAAAGCAGCUCACAAUGCAGCCUAUGGAUUCUUUGAGUGGACACAAUAUGCGUUAUAUGAAUAAAAUGACUUAAAAUGUUGUUAUUUUGUUGUAUCCAUUAACUUCUCAGUUUUAUGCUGAAAAAUAUUUGAUUACAUAAUUCUAUGCACUCCUAUUUGAAGGAAGGUGUUCAAGUCAACUGAAAAUACCUCCAAUUUGGAAUUAGCAAGAUCUUCCAAUGAUCACAAAAAGUAUUUUGAUAAAAAAUAAUGGUAAUAUUUUACAUAAAUUUGAGGGCUUACAAUGUACUACACAUUGUUCAAAAUAAUUUGUACAUAUUAAUUGAGGUAGUCAACAAAACAACUCUUGUAACUGGUGCUAUGUUGUCAUUCCUAAACUCGUGGUGACUGAAACAUAGCUCAAGAAACUUCUACAAUGGCAUGAAGCCAGUAAAUUGCAGAGUUGGCAUUAGAUAAACUGUGUUAUAGCCCAAGAUCCAUGGGUUUAUUCAAUGCUAGUCACACAAUAAAAUAUAUUUAAAAUGCUAUAAAAUAUUGCUUUGGCCUGCAUUUGAGGAGCUACACGCUGAUUUCCUAGAACGAUCUUCAUAUUUAUUUUGGAACAAUCAGUUAAAAAAAAAUAAAAAAGAAUCUGUUUGGGCCACAUAUGCCAGAGGCUAAAGGAAUUGCUGUCCUCUGUUCUGUUCCUGUCCACCUCAGCACUUUUGAUCUCUGGGGCAUGCUGUUGGUCUUAACCAUAAAUUGAAAAUGAGAGGCAGAAUAAUUAAAGAGCAAACUGUAAUUAUGACCAAGAUCUAAAGAGAGAAAAACUAACAUUGAGUAUCGGCCUUCAAUUUCCUAUUAGUGCAUUUAAGAUUAGCUAUAAACAGCCUUGUUAAACUCAAUUAAAUAGUUCAUCAGAAGGAUUUUUCUUAUUAGUACAGGCUGAGUGAUGUGACUUUUAGAACCAUGUUGCUGGUUAUGCAUGAGCAUUUUUCAACAUUGAUUUUGUACUCUAAGAUUUUAUUAUUGUUAUUGUUAUUAUUAUUAUUUUAUUUAUUACAGUGCCAUUUAAGAGGCUUUCUUGAAAGAUACUGUUUGGCAUGCAAAAGCUUUGAUGCUCUUCUUAGAAAUGUCUAAAAUGACAAAGCUAAAAGUUCCAUAGCGCUGUUAAUUAAUGGUGAAAGUUCAAUGGGACAUAUUAUCUUGAAUCAAAAGCCAUAUCUAACUUGUAAGAAUCAGUUUAUGAAACUGCUAAAUUUACAUACUGGCCAAGAAGCUGGUAUUUAAUAAAUUUAGGAAAUAUAGACGGCUAAUAAAAAAUUUACAUUUUUCUUUUAUUGAAAACUCCUUAUCUUGGUACUCUUAAUUAACUCAGACAACAUUUUCCUCUAGCAUUAGCUCUACCCUCUCUUAUCUGAUAUUUAUUAUUCAUAGUUUUGGUCUCGACUUGUGGAUAAUUUUGGUCUGAGUCCUAAUUCUUAAGUGUUCCUUAAUCAUUUCAUUUUUCCUCUUAUUAGCUGUUGCUUUACAUAAGAGACCAUUGAGUGCCAAUUCAUUUUGAACAGAAAGGUCAAUUUUGUCUAAAAAUAACAAACUUUGUCUUGUUUCAUUUUCUGGUAAGAAGAAUGAAGAGCUAAAAUUAUCAUUGUGAGAUAAUACAUAUGUCUUCCAGGAAUUUGUCUGGCUCCCAGACAGAAUCAUUUUGGAGAUUAUAUGGCAGUUAUGAAAGUCAGUAUGCGCUUUGCUGUGAACUUAAUUGCGCCACCCCCCACGCCCAUUCCUAUAUUGAAGCUGUAACCCCUCAUGUGACAAUAUAUGGAAACAUUUUAGAAGGUGAUUAAGGUUAAAUGAGGUCAUGGUGUGGGGGUCCUAAUCCACUAGGAUUGGUGGCCUUAUAAGAGGAGGAAGCCCUCUCUCUCUCUUCCUCUCUCUUUCUGUCUUUUUCUCUCUCUUAUCUCUCCCUAUCUGCCUCUCUCUCUCUCUGUGUGCUCAGACACCAAGGAAAGACCAUAUGAGCACACAGCAAGAAGGUGGCUGUCUGAAAAUCAGGAAGAGGAACUUCACCAGAACAUGACUCCAUCAGCACCUUUAUCUUGCACUUCCACCCUUCAUAACUGUGAGAAAUAAAUUUCUGUUGUUUAAGCCACACUGUCUAUGGUGUUUUGUUGUUGUAGCCUGAGUAUAUUGGAGCUUAUUUUCAAAUCAUUGAAACAGAUGAGACCAAAUAUAAUAUUUUUUACAAAACCUCAUGUUUAAUUAUUUUCUCCUUUUCAGAUGGAAACCUAAAUCCUUCUUUAUACCAGCACCAAGACCCUGGAAGCUAAAAAUUGG
rnacentral:lncRNA from 10 species